GGGAGAUUUACUCAUCUGACAUGGAAGGUUUACACUGCCUGACGGCAACUAAACCAAGCUGCCUCCUCGCAUGUGUGGUCAUUUAUGCCCCAGAUGCCAGAGGUUUCCUUCCACCUCCUUAGGAAAGUCAAUCGUGAUGAUCCAGUGCCGCUGUCAGGAUCCACCAUUGUGAUCCACUAUCAGCUGCCAACAUGAUCAGCCAACACAAUCCAUGAUCGGCCUUCAUGAUAUCCAAUUUACAAUCCACGACCAUGAUCCAUGAUGUGGCCCCAGCUGCAGACCUGGAACUGCAAACCAUAAAGCACAAGGACUCCGGAGACUGAAACUGGGAGGUGAUUCUAAAGGAGAGAUCCCAUUUGCCCUCUCCUUAGCAUUGAGUACAUACAUCUACUGCCAUUGUCACAAUGACAACAUACUAGUGGAACUAUCUAGUGUCCUCCAUUUUUCAUGUCAGACAAACUCAGUCAAUGCAGGAUGCUUUUUUUCAAAUAGUUUUUACAUGAAAAAUUGGUGGGAGCAUGUAGUAUGGGUCAGAAAACAAUACAAACUAUUUUUGCAGAUCCGGAUCAGGUGGCAGAUCCAGGAAUGUUUUUCCAUUAUCUUUAACAUAGCCGGAGAGGGCAUUGUUUUUGUUUUUUUUGCAGUUUGAUUGAAUUUAAUGGUCCUGUUGGUUCUGGGCGGAGCUAUGAGUCCA